rnacentral:rRNA from 1 species
UACGGGGGGGGUAAGCGUUGUUCGGAAUUACUGGGCGUAAAGGGCUCGUAGGCGGCCAACUAAGUCAGACGUGAAAUCCCUCAGCUUAACUGGUGAACUGCGUCUGAUACUGGAUGGCUUGGAUUCGGGAGAGGAAUGCGGAAUUCCAGGUGUAGCGGUGAAAUGCGUAGAUAUCUGGAGGAACACCGGUGGCGAAGGCGGCAUUCUGGACCGAUAUUGACGCUGAGGAGCGAAAGCCAGGGGAGCAAACGGG